rnacentral:lncRNA from 1 species
GCUCGUGAGGCCCGCUGGAGGAAGCUCGCGCGUCCGAGGACGUUUUGGAGCGCGGGGGCGGAUUCGAGAUACGACGUUCCGACCCGCGCGCGUGGAAUCGCGCGCUCGGUGCGUCUCCGAGGCCGCGCCGCGACGAGGGGCGCCGAUCUCAUUCAUUCAUCGUCAGGUUGUGGGGCGGUCGAGUCGGAUAGUUUAAGAUAUGGCGACGCUCAGGCGCGACGCGAGAGCGCUGAUUGACGCGGUGAAAGCGUCCGGAUCGCGCGUCAUCGAACGUUUCGAAGCCGACGACGACGGUGUCUGCGUCUCCGUGACCCUCACGCGCGGCCACACGAGCAACCUGACCCUCAUCUUCGAGGUGCGCUUCAAACCCGUCGAUCGCUG